UUCAAUUGCUCAGCAACAGCCAAGGAGAAAUCAAAACCUAGGCAGACCACAGACGGCUUGAGCCUUGAGCAAAUUGAUAGCUUCAUUUUAUUUUUUACUUCCAGGUGGGAGGAGAUUUUGGGGGUUUCCGAGAUUGAAAGGUGCCCGUCAGAUUAGUGUCCGGAAAAAGUUACCGGAUAGGAUCGGAUAGGUCUGGAAGUCUUGUUCUCAGAUGGUAAUCCAAUUUCACGGUCAAAUUCAGGGAUUGAAAGAAUGUGAAGCAAACUUGGUGGUGUAUCUCCACCCAUCCAUGGCCAAAUGCGUCAACGAUGCUAUCCUCCGUGAGCUAAGCUCUCUACUCUUCACAUACAAUGAGACUUUUGAUGGCGUUGUAUUGGCAUAUGAUCCGAAUGUACGAAGUAAUUUGGCAAAGAUUCUUCCCGGAAUUCAUCCGUAUCUUGGUGUGAGGUUAAAAGCAAAAUUGUUGCUUUUUAGUCCCAAGCCUAAUAUGCUUUUAGAAGGAGAGGUAGUUAAAAUUGGUAGACAGUCGAUUCAUGCUGUGAUUCUUGGUUUUUCGUCUGCUGUUAUAUCAGAUGAAGACAUUCGUGAUGAAUUCAAGUGUAAAGUUAAACAUGGAAAGGAAGUGUUUGUUAGCCGACAUCACAAGAAACACAAGAUCAAAGUUGGAACUAUAAUACGAUUUUUAGUGAAGAGCUUUGAUGAAGAGAUACUCCACAUUUCUGGUUCUUUGGUUACUGCCAAUACGGGAUGCGCGCGAUGGUUAGAUACAAAUUUGGAAGAAUGGUCUCAAGCUGACAGUACCACUAGGAAGAGGAAAGAUAGGGAUGAGAAGGAGCAAAAGACUGCAGAUGACAAAUUAAUGGCCAGUAGGGAUAUCCCUCCCUUGAAAAAGGCUGAUAGAAUUAAGAAGUUGAAGAAGAAGAAGCGAAAAGAACAUACAUGAAGUUUGCUGCUGAUUUGCAUAUGCCUGCAUUCUCAAGACGCAUGACUUAAAAAGAUUUGAUUUUGGAAAUUUCUGUACAUGUAGAGGUGGAUAGAACGGAGGAGAUAAAAGAUUCAUGUAGACAAGCCCGGGUUUACUAGGAGGAAGGCUUGGUUUGUUAUUGUUACCAAGGAAUAAAGCUUAACGAAAAUGCAAGAAUAUUGCAUAUCAAUGAUAUUUAGUCGACCAUAAUACUUGGACAAGUAGACCUCUUCUAUAGAUUUAGGGGAAAAGCUUCUCAUGCUUCUUGUUUUGGCUGUUGUGGGUGCAUAUUCAAGGGGAUGAUAGGCUUAUUUGGACGUGUUAAUAAAUAGAACAGAAAAUUAGAUAUAUUGGCUACAGGUUUCUUAUGAAUUGAAUUAUUUGCUGUGCACAACCAUGAAGUGUGGUUCUUCCGAACAGUUGACAUUAAUCUGAAUUUUGUGGAGUAUCCUGAUAUUGUAUUUUCUUUAGGUUUUAAUAUUUGACAUCCAGUGUUCAUAUCGAUGACUA